GUCGAAACCGAAGUCACCGGGGGCGGAGCCAUCAAGGUAAGGUGGGCGGGGCUGGCCGGGCAUCCAUUCUGCCGACAUGGAGAACCGGGAGGAUGCAUUGCUGGCUCCCGGGAGUGCGAGCGAGCUCGUGAAUUGCGAUUUGGAGGACGAGAGGAGGCUGGGGAACACCACGGCGCAGCCCCGCAGCACGUUGGAGGCCAUCUCUUCUCU
rnacentral:misc_RNA from 1 species